rnacentral:tRNA from 2 species
GGCGACAUGGUCGAGUGGCUUAGGCAGCGGUCUGCAAAACCGUUUACACCAGUUCGAAUCUGGUUGUCGCCUCCA